CCGUCCCCAGUGUCUACUGUUGCCAUCUUUUCAUCCGUAAGUACUCAAUGUUUAGCUCUCACUUGUAAGAACGUGUUGUUUGGUUUUCUGUUCCUGCAUUCAUUUGCUUAGGAUAAUGGCCUUCAACUGCAUACACGCAAAGAACAUGAUUUCAUUCUUUUGUAUGGCUGUAUAGUAUUCCAUAGUGUAUAUGUACUGCAUUUUCCUCAUGUAAUCUAAUCUCUAUUUAAUUAAUCAUUGAUAGGUACCUGGGUUGAUUCCACGUCUUUGCUAUUGUGAAUAGUCUUGCAAUGAAGAUAUUAGUGUAUGUGUCUUUUUGGUAGAAUAAUUUAUUUUCAUUUGGAUAUAUACACAUUAAUGGGAUUACUGGAUUGAAUGGUAGUUCUGUUUUAAUUUCCUUGAGAAAUCUCCAAACUGCUUUAUACAGUGACUGAACUAAUUAACAUUCCUACCAACAGUGUAUAAGUGUUCCCUUUUCUCCACAGUUGUGCCAGCAUCUGUUGUUUUAACUUUCUUUAUUAGAAAUAAAUAAUGGUCAUUUUUACUGAUGUGAUAUCCCACUGGGUUUUGAUUUACAUUUCUCUCAUGAUUAGUGACGUUGAACAUUUUUUCAAGUUUGUUGGCUUCUUUUGAGAAGUAUCUGUUCAUGUAUUUUGCUGAUUUUUUAAUGGGGUUAUUUGUUUUUGGUCUGGUGUCCAGGCUGGAGUGCACUGACAUGAUCUUGGCUCACCUCAACCUCGACCUCCCAGGUUCAAGUGAUUUUCCCACCUCAGCCUCCUGAGCAGCUGGGACAACGAUCAGAUGGAUGCUUGGGCUCUCAUUCUUCCUUCUGCAAUGACCAGAGAGUCUUUGGCUUCUUCCGUCUUGCUGGAAAAAGAACAUUCAUGGUUUUUAGGGUACAUUGUUGAGGAGGGGACAACAGAAAGAUGACUUCUCUUCUUUAUUUGAGAAUAACCUGGGUUCAUCCUUGGAGCAAUAUAUGAAAGAAAACAGAAAACAGCCACAGGAGCCUGGAGGGACAGAGGAGCUGGUCGCUUUGUGGACCACUGUACACCUGAGAAAGGUGACUCUUGAAAGGAAAAGAGGUUGCUUGACGUACCCUUUGAAGUUCACGGGCACUGCAAAGAAUGCAUUUUUGUAGCUGAUCCAGCUCAAAUGCCCAGAUUCAUCCACAUCUGCAGCUUAUGUCACAGGGCUGGCAGCUAACAGAAACCAUCAGAUCUGCCUUUGUUUUCUUAUCAAAUCAUAUGUGAUAAUGUCACAACCAGUAAGUUGUGUUUUCAGGUAUGUGUUUGUACUGACUUGACAGUGAACCUAAAAAGUGAAAUAAAUAUGAAGAACGAGAAAUUCUAAAUUCUCACCCUUCAGGGGUGUUGGUAUUAUCAAUUUGCCUGUGUUGUCUUUAAACACACACACACACAUACACACACACACACACACACACACACACACAUCUUCUUUAGCUCUGGUGUAUAGAAAAGCAGGACAAAUCCUACAUUGACAAAUUAAUGACAGUAGUAAGCUAAGUCAUUUUAUUUUAUUUUAUUUUAUUUUUCUUUAUUUAUUAUUAUUAUACUUUAAGUUUUAGGGUACAUGUGCACAAUGUGCAGGUUAGUUACAUAUGUAUACAUGUGCCAUGCUGGUGCGCUGCACCCACUAACUCGUCAUCUAGCAUUAGGUACAUCUCCCAGUGCUAUCCCUCCGCCCUCCCCCCACCGCAC
rnacentral:lncRNA from 10 species